GGCUGAGCCGUGAGGCUGUCCCACCAAGCCCACCCCUGUCUCCGCAGGGCCCCCCAGGACUUGUGGAUGGGGCAGCGCCCCGAGGGGAGCCAGGUCCCCCGGGUCUGCCUGGGGAUCCUGGCCCUCGGGGACCUGCUGGCACCCCUGGACCCAAGGGCGAGAAGGUAAGAGGGUGGUGGGGACCCCCCUGGCUCUGCAGCGGGGACGCACGUCCCCAUCUCACGGUGUCCUGCUGCCUUUCCUGCCCCCUCAGGGUGAUGGUGAGGACGGUUUGCCAGGGCCACCCGGCCGCCCAGGGGACCCAGGGGACCGGGGCCCGCGGGGACCGCCCGGGGAGCAGGGCAGGAAGGGAGACCGCGGGGCGCCAGGCGAGCUGGGAGAGACGGGCG
rnacentral:lncRNA from 1 species